rnacentral:tRNA from 1 species
GGGGAUGUGGCUCAGUGGUAGAGUGCUCGUCUAGCACAUGUGAAACUUGGGUUCCAUCCUCA